GACGAACGCUGGCGGCGUGCUUAACACAUGCAAGUCGAACGGAAAGGCCCUGCUUUUGUGGGGUGCUCGAGUGGCGAACGGGUGAGUAACACGUGAGUAACCUGCCCUUGACUUUGGGAUAACUUCAGGAAACUGGGGCUAAUACCGGAUAGGAGCUCCUGCUGCAUGGUGGGGGUUGGAAAGUUUCGGCGGUUGGGGAUGGACUCGCGGCUUAUCAGCUUGUUGGUGGGGUAGUGGCUUACCAAGGCUUUGACGGGUAGCCGGCCUGAGAGGGUGACCGGCCACAUUGGGACUGAGAUACGGACCAGACUCCUACGGGAGGCAGCAGGGGGGAAUAUGGCACAAUGGGCGGAAGCCGGAUGCGGCAACGCCGCGUGCGGGAUGACGGCCUUCGGGUUGUAAACCGCUUUCGCCUGUGACGAAGCGUGAGUGACGGUAAUGGGUAAAGAAGCACCGGCUAACUACGUG
rnacentral:rRNA from 1 species